rnacentral:lncRNA from 1 species
GCAAAUUGAGAGUACUUAAAUAUAUCAUAUCAUCUAUAAAUUGCAAGAUCCUAAGAAGCUUCUCCUGGAACUGAUGAAAAGGAAUGAACAUCACCAAUGAUGUGGUUGGGUAUACAAGAUAUACAUGAGUUAGACAUGACUUUGAAAUAUUUCAAGAUGCUGAGGAAAUAAGUUUACCCUCAGGAGAGCCAUCCCUCCUGUCCAUUCACUAGAGGAUCUGAAGCUGCCAUUAUCUUAACAUUAUGGGUUAGGAGGUAAAACCUGGCCCAUGCUGGGCCUCCCAGAGGUCUUCCCAGCAUUGCUCAGACCUGAGCAGGAAGGCAAAUAGCGUGGUGAGAGGGAGAGAACUUCACGCUCUCCACUUGAAUCUGUAAUAAUGAAAGACCAAAUCUGAGAGUGGAAACGGUCCUAGCCUCAUGCAGGAUGAAGCCAACACAGAAAGAAAAGAGUUGGUGGGAGACCAGAAAAGCCCACGUGGUGCUUGAGUACCUACCUUUGCCACCACUGACUUACAUCAGCCAAAAAUUCACGGCCAACACUGUUUGAUUCAAUCAUCAGCAAUCAACAGAAUCUUUUAAUACAGU